ACGCCGUAAACGAUGAAUGCUAGCUGUUAGCGAUAUACUGUNAGCGGCACAGAGAAAUCGUUAAGCAUUCCACCUGGGGAGUACGCCGGCAACGGUGAAACUCAAAGGAAUUGACGGGGGCCCGCACAAGCGGAGGAACAUGUGGUUUAAUUCGAUGAUACGCGAGGAACCUUACCUGGGCUUAAAUUGCAGUGGAAUAACGUGGAAACAUGUUAGCCUUCGGGCCGCUGUGAAGGUGCUGCAUGGUUGUCGUCAGCUCGUGCCGUGAGGUGUCGGCUUAAGCGCCAUAACGAGCGCAACCCUCAUCGAUAGUUACUAACAGGUUAAGCUGAGGACUCUAUCGAGACUGCCGACGUAAGUCGUGAGGAAGGUGGGGAUGACGUCAAAUCAGCACGGCCCUUACGUCCAGGGCUACACACGUGUUACAAUGGGGGGUACAAAGGGCAGCUACCUGGCGACAGGAUGCUAAUCUCAAAAACCUCUCUCAGUUCGGAUUGGAGUCUGCAACCCGACUCCAUGAAGCUGGAUUCGCUAGUAAUCGCGCAUCAGCCACGGCGCGGUGAAUACGUUCCCGGGCCUUGUACACACCGCCCGUCAAGCCAUGGGAGCCGGGGGGACCUGAAGUAUGCAACCGUAAGGAGCGUCCUAGGGUAAAACUGGUGACUGGGGCU
rnacentral:rRNA from 1 species